rnacentral:lncRNA from 1 species
AAUCGGAUUGCCCCAGCCUGGGUUAGGUGUUCACCCUGAUCCAAUCAGUUACAACUAGGUGGCACUGUGGCCACCUAUUUUAAACAUGGCUGCUUUGGGCUCAUCUUUGUGAAUUGGGAUGAUUCACUUGGAAAAGGAGAUACAGAUCUAUGAUCACUGGCCUGUAAGUAGGCUAGAUGCUCUAAACUUGUCACUAUGUGGGUAAAAAUAUUUUUUUUCUGCAUGUCCCAUUCUUUCUUGUUAGACUUCAGCACCUAUUUCUUCUGCUAACUAGCUUAGCUAGAUAUUUCUCUUCUUGAAGCAUAGACAAUAGGUAACUAUAGCAACUGGUUGUACAGGUAAUUGCUAUAAAACAUUGCCCAGGGGUUAGAAAGCCAUGGAGACACUGAACCCUACAUUCGACUGAGGCAUUAGUUCACAGCUAAGGUCCGUGACUUGGUUAGGUCUCAGUUGCCUCUAAUCUUCUCCUUUGUCAUCGUGGCUUCAGCUGUCCAGCAUUUCCAGGGACAGGCUAAUGAGGAAAGACACAGAUUAUGAGCUUCUGGAGAUGAAGGAUUCUGUCUAUUCAUCUUUGUAUUCCCACUAUCCAG